rnacentral:rRNA from 1 species
ACUCCUACGGGAGGCAGCAGUGGGGAAUAUUGCACAAUGGGCGCAAGCCUGAUGCAGCCAUGCCGCGUGUAUGAAGAAGGCCUUCGGGUUGUAAAGUACUUUCAGCAGUGAGGAAGGCGGGCAUGUUAAUAGCAUGCUCUUUGACGUUAGCUGCAGAAGAAGCACCGGCUAACUCCGUGCCAGCAGCCCGGUAAUACGGAGGGUGCGAGCGUUAAUCGGAAUU